AUGGAAUUAAGGUUGCCUCAUGUGCUUCAUAUUUUUAAUGUCUUUCGUGAAAAUAAGGAUUCCGAUAAUUGUGCUCAAUUGCUAGAGGAAGAAUGCUAUAAAAUGUUUGGCACUAAAUCUUUGAAUGAUGAGCAUGAUUGCAAUGUUGUCAAUAUGAAUUCUUUGAAUAUCCAUGAUGCUAGUGAUAUGCAAAGUUACAAGCUUGGGGAUGCUAUGUUUGAUGGAAAUGUCAUGUUUGAGAAUUUAUUUGCGGCAAUUAAUGUUUUUCCCAAGCUUGGGGAUGCAAUGUUUAAUGAGGAUGAUAUUUUUAGUCUCCCAAGUUUUGAUAUGCAAAUUUAUUAUGAUGAUAGCAUGCCUCCUAUUUAUGAUGAUUAUAUUGAUGAAAGUUGGUUUGGAAGAGUGUCAACUUUAGGAAGUAAUGAUCCCACUAUUUUGGAGGGUGUUGAAUCUUAUUACAAUAUUGAUAAAACUGGAUUUGGAGAGGUCAUAACUUUAUUUAGUGAUGAAUCCACUAUUUCGAAUGAGGUUCCAAUUGAUUAUGAUAACAAAGUUGCUAUCUUUGAUGAUUAUUGUGAUGACAUGUAUGCUAUAAAGAAUAAUGAUAACCAGGAAGCUUGUCAUCAUGAUUUUAAUUUUCAAUUGGAUUAUGCCUCACAUGAUAAGUUAUUUUGUUCAGUUUGUUCCCACUACUAUUCAUGA
rnacentral:rRNA from 1 species